rnacentral:rRNA from 1 species
UACGAAGGGGGCUAGCGUUGCUCGGAAUCACUGGGCGUAAAGCGCACGUAGGCGGAUUGCUAAGUCAGGGGUGAAAUCCUGGAGCUCAACUCCAGAACUGCCUUUGAUACUGGCAACCUUGAGUCCGGGAGAGGUGAGUGGAACUGCGAGUGUAGAGGUGAAAUUCGUAGAUAUUCGCAAGAACACCAGUGGCGAAAGGCGGCUCACUGGCCCGGUACUGACGCUGAGGUGCGAAAGCGUGGGGAG